GACAGAGGGUGCAAACGUUGUUCGGAAUUACUGGGCGUAAAGAGCGCGCAGGCGGUCGAUCAAGUCGAGUGUGAAAGCCCCCGGCUCAACUGGGGAGGGUCAUUCGAUACUGAUCGACUCGAAGGCAGGAGAGGGUAGUGGAAUUCCCGGUGUAGUGGUGAAAUGCGUAGAUAUCGGGAGGAACACCAGUGGCGAAGGCGACUACCUGGCCUGUUCUUGACGCUGAGGCGCGAAAGCUAGGGGAGCAAACGGG
rnacentral:rRNA from 1 species